UGUCGGUCACUGCCAGAGGAGGUUCUCUGUCCUGAGCAGGAGUUUCGGUCUCUAUGCAUCAAACAUCUACUGAGAAGAGGUCCUGUACCAUGGGAACAGAAGGGUCAUUUUGACAGAGGAGGAGAAAGUGGCUGUGUUAACCGAAGUCCAUGCAGGCCAUUUUGGACCACGGAGGAUGCAAGCGAAGAUUGCUCCCCGGUUUUAUUGGCGGUCCAUCACACAGGACACAUUGGAUUGGGUGCGCACACGUCCUGACUGCCAGCGCUUUGAAAAAUUAAAGACUGAGGCGCCUGAGCUGAAGCCCAUCAAGGCCUUGAGGGACAUUUUCUUUACUCAUGUUUUGCCUGAAGUUAUCCUCACUGACCAGGGCACUGAAUUCAAGAAAGAGGCUGAGGUAGCUUUCAAGGAGUUGGGCAUUGAACAUCGGGUUUCGUCAGCAUACCACCCCCAGACCAAUUGGCUUGAGAGGACGAACCAAACCCUUAAAGUGUCUAUUGGGAAGACCAGCAGGGGCCAACAGGAGAAGUGGGAGGACAAGCUCAGGGAGAUAGUGUAUGCCCAUAACACCUGUGUACAGGCAUCGACCAGGUACUCCCCCUUCCGCCUGAUGUUUGGUCGAGAGGCACGGAUGUUUACGGCAGAGGAUGAAGAAAGGGGUCAAGCGUUUCAUCAUCCAACCUGGAAUGGAGGUCCUCAAGAAGGAUGUGAGGAAGAAAGGGAGACCUGGGCGAACCAUGGACCCAAACUGGAGCCAGACCAUC